rnacentral:rRNA from 1 species
GACGAAACGCUGGCGGAAUGGAUUAGGCAUGCAAGUCGUACGAGAUUUAUACUUUCGGGGGUGAGAGAGUGGCGAACUGGUGAGUAACACGUAGGUUAUCUACCCUCAAGACGGGGACAACCCCAGGGAAACUUGGGCUAAUACCGGAUGUGAGCAACUUUUUAGUUGUUUGAAAGGUGGCGUAAGCUGUCGCUUGGGGAUGAGCCUGCGUCCUAUUAGUUAGUUGGUGAGGUAACGGCUCACCUAGGCAAUGAUAGGUAGGCGGCCUUAACGGGUGGUCGCCCACACUGGGAUUGAGAUACGGCCCAGACUCCUACGGGAGGCAGCAGUCGAGAAUAGUCUACAAUGGUCGGAAGACUGAUAGUGCGACGCCGCGUGAACGAUGAAUCCCUUCGGGGUGUAAAGUUCUUUUAUAUGUGAGCAGUGCUUCUUAUAUUAACAGUAUGGGGAAGAGAUAUUAGCAUAUGAAUAAGCAACGGCUAACUCCGUGCCAGCAGCCGCGGUAAA